rnacentral:rRNA from 1 species
GACGAACCGUGCGAACGUUGUUCGGAAUCACUGGGCUUAAAGGGCGCGUAGGCUGGUUUGAAAGUCUGCGGUGAAAUCCUCCAGCUUAACUGGAGAAGUGCCGUGGAUACUGCAAGCCUCGAGGAGGGUAGGGGCAUCUGGAACAGUAGGUGGAGCGGUGAAAUGCGUUGAUAUCUACUGGAACUCCGGUGGCGAAGGCGAGGUGCUGGACCCUUUCUGACGCUGAGGCGCGAAAGCCAGGGGAGCGAACGGG